GGAACUCCAAAACAUAAGCGCUGUCACAAAGCCAGGGCAGCAAGCUCACAUUUUAUAUUUGAAUCUGUUUUGAAAGUCAGUUUCUCCAUCCUGUGUGUAUGUACUUCUUUUUAGUUUUCUUUCUCGAAGCAUCCAUAGAUGAUGUAAUGCUUCUCCUUGGAAUAGAUCCUAUCCCCCUCUAGUGGCUGGCUCAGGGCUUCCCGAGUCCUCCCGCCACUGUGCAAAGUCUUGCUCCCGCUGCACAGAAGGCUAACCGGGCGACAGCUUGUGGGAAAACCAAGAUGUGAGACAAAAUAUAUUAAAUGCUGCUCAGAGCUCUGUGACAGCACUGAGGGAAAAAAAAAACCAUGUAACUCUUUUAAGUGAUAUUAUGGAGGAUUUCUCCCACAGAUUUUAAGUAAAAUGCUAGAUGUACUGUACUGCCCACCUAAAUCCUACUGCAAUCUAAUUGUCAGCAGGUAACAUCCGCCUCCUCUUUUCUAUCAAUCCUACCACAAAAAAUUGCAGAGAUAAUUGGAACAAAUCUCCUAGAUGACUCAUGGUGAACACUGAGCUCUAAUAGCCCAGCCUAACAGCUGAAAUGGGCUCUGGCUGAGGCAACAUAUAAAGACAUCAUGUGUUGGAAUAAGAAGUGAUUAUAACCACUUCUCUAACCCUCAUUUCCGGGUGACUACUGAGAAAUUAGACAUUCCAUUUAGAGUAAAUCAAGAAAAGAAUGAGUAUUUUUAUUUUGCUUUUGAAGUUCCUACACAUCUCCUUAGGUCCUUGUUGAAGAAGGGAACAAAAUCCAGGCUUACUUUGGUUUGAGAGAACACGUAUCCAUCAGGGUUUGUGACUGGCAGGAGGAAGAUAUCCAGGGCAUCCAGAAUGGAAGUGAUGGAUGGGUCCUUUCCAUAAUCAGAAACAAUCUGAGCAAAGACAAGAUACAUGUCAACCUCACACACCGCUUUUGUUGGGAACACAGGACAGAAUAGUAAGGUAGUGUUUUUUCCAGAUGUGAACCAGGGAUCACUAUUGAUCAAGGAAAGUCUUCUAGGCAUCCAGCAGUCCGGUCUCCUGCAAUGUUAAUGUGUUGAAUAUGCUAGCGUCUAUACUUUUAUUUCUAAUCAGAAUAAUUUACUUCUAUUGAGUAAAAAUCAGAUAUCAUAUAUCUACUCUUUCAAAAGCAGUAACAUUCUUCCUAUCCAUCCCAGUGAGACAUUUUGCAAUAGUGAGCAGUGAUAUAUGUGACUUAUGUGGACCUAUGCACCAAAGAAAUUUUGUUUGGUAUUCCUUAAUCCCUACAUGAGAUAACUUUCCAAAAGAACUCACAACAAACAUCAGAUUACUUAAAUAUGCAGAGACAUUGCUAAAGACACAGAGAACAAGUUAAAUUCCAUUUGGGGAAUUACAUUUUUACUUGCCAUUAACCGCAGUUGAGUUGAAGUUUCUGCUGGAUUAAAAUUUAUUCAUUUCCUGUGCUCAGCCAUCCUAAGGCAUUAUUAUUCAACUGUUAAAUAUCCAUUUCAUAAUACCCUAAAGGUAACCGCAUUUUAAUUGAAGGGAAAAAUGUAUCAGUCGGUAUGCACGUGGUUGCACAUGCUUGAAUGAUCUGAUGUGGAUUGAUUUCCUCUGCUCGUGAAUUAACAUUCUGAUUUAUAGCAUGUCAUUUUUGAAUUACCUAAGAAAUACCAGACUAGGUCAUACCCAGCCCCAUUUCCUGACUCUAAUGCCAACAAACUUGUGGAAGAGAGAUCUUACUACACCCUACCUUCAAAAUCAAAUUUGGGAAAUUUUCAGAACAACCCAAACACCCUUAGCCAACUCCACUUUGGAUCUGUGGGUUAACUCUUCUUGCGCCUGUUUGUAUUUUCCAGGUGACCCCCUUUCAUGAUUUUAUAAAUUUCUAGCAUAUCACACCUCAGCCCUCAGGGUUCCAGGCAGCAAAGUGAUUUUUCUCUAGUCGGUUCUUUUGCUGAAAUCUGGCUCCCAAGGGUCCUCCCUGGCCACCCGUUCAAUCUCUUUAGCUUACUGAGUCUUUUUUUUUUUCCCCUCUCUCUCACUCAACAGCAAUCAUCACAUCGCUGUGCCUUUUAACACAGCGCACAGUGGCCUGCCCAAGGGGAGGAGCCUGGGGUGCUGGAUGGGGCAAUACCAAAAAAGUCUGGAUGGGUUGACUGCCAGCCCGUGUGACAAGAGAAGGGUUUUGUCUGAGAGCGCCAGCCAUCAGGACCACUGGGACUGUCAUGGAUUUUGGUGGGCCUGACCCCAGAAAGGCAAAAUAAGCAAGGAAUAUUAGGCAAAAUGACCUUAUUUGCUGUCCAAAGUGCCGUAGCUUGUGUAACCCACUCUCGAGCAUGGAUCCCAGCAUCCAGCCAGAUAGCUGGCUUGUCUCCUCCGGUGCUGAACUGCAAAAGCAAGUGUGGCAAUGUGAACGGCUCCACUGCCGUGGCACCUGGUUGCCUCCUUUCUACCCUAGACCAUCCUUCUCUGUCCCUCUCUCUAUUCUUGAUGUGAUUGACAGAGAAGGAAAUACAGACAGUGAUGCUGUCGACUAACUCUCAUUUAAGGAGAAUUUUCUUUUGUCCCCUUCUUCGAAUGCAAGUGUAAACACAGACUGAGGGGCAUAGACAAUUCUCCUCUGAUGUUUGUAAAAAAUCGUUGUAGAUGAUGACAUGAAAAUAUCUUCAUAUGCUGAAAAUUGGAAAAAAAUGGAUUACAAGAUUUCAUUUUUAUUUUUAAAGAAACUAGUUCAUUUAUACAUACACAUACAUAUGAGAAAAAAGGAAAAGGAGAAGGAGGAAGAGAGAAAAGGAAAAAGAAAAGAGAGAAAAAAGUAGAAAAAUAUACAACAGAUUGUUAAUAGCUAUUAUCCUAUAGUUGUGGAAUUAGAAUUAUGAGGAUUUUUUUUUCUUUUUUCUUUUCUCUAUUUUCCAAAUGUAUGCAAUAAUAGUGUUUUGUUAUAAAAAUGCUUGUGAUAACCUUUUGAGACCUUCAUAAAAACAGGAUAGCAAGCCUCCGGAGGUACUUUCCAGAGUUUAAAUUUUAUGAUCUAAGUGACUUAGUUUUAUUUGAAACAGUGGCUUUGCCAAUUGGAUCAGUAAAUGGAGAGGAAAAGAUUAUUUUUGCACCAUCAACUUCUAUCUCUGUGCAGCAUUCUAAACACAGCAGAUAAGGUAAAUGAGAAAUGCAAAUCCUUGCUAAAAAUUACAGUUCAUGGGUUCUAGGAGUUUUAGUUAAAAGUGUUUUGUGCCUUUUCCUCC
rnacentral:lncRNA from 10 species